CCCUUAGAUGUUCGGGGCCGCACGCGCGCUACACUGAAGGAAUCAACGUGUGUUUGCCCUGGCCCGGAAGGGUCGGGUAACCCGUUGAACCUCUUUCGUGCUAGGGAUUGGGGCUUGCAAUUAUCCCCCAUGAACGAGGAAUUCCCAGUAAGCGCGAGUCAUCAGCUCGCGUUGAUUACGUCCCUGCCCUUUGUACACACCGCCCGUCGCUACUACCGAUUGGAUGGUUUAGUGAGACCCUCGGAUCGGUCCCGACUCGGGGUGGGCUUCUGCCCCGGUCGUGGUUUCGCCGAGAAGACGGUCAAACUUGACUAUCUAGAGGAAGUAAAAGUCGUAACA
rnacentral:rRNA from 1 species